GUGAUUCUGCUUUUUUAUGAAAUGUUGAACCCUAUCAGGUUGAAUGCUAAGCGGUGUUGUCCUACAACUGAGUGACCAUUCAGAUUUCACUUCUGCCCUGGCUGUCCAUUCAGCCAUAUUAUGUGUCCAGUUGUACUAUGAAUUUAUCCAGAGAAGAACUGCAGAGCAGAGUGCACUUCCAAAGUCCAGGUGAGCAGAAAGACUGGCAAGAUGGUCCAGUGAAAGAAUGACUUCAUCAAACCACAUGUGGAAUUGUUCAUCAGGGACUGGCAGAACAACUAAUUCCAGAAGAAGAUUCCAGCCCAGUAAUAGGGUUCCAGCCUGGAAAGAUGCAUCCAUUUCAUGAAAACGAUUGCAGUACAGGAAGC